rnacentral:miRNA from 1 species
GGGUGAGAAUGUGCGUGGAUCCUGGAGGAGGCAGAAAAGAGGUUGAACUCCUGAGUUCUAGUUCCAAACACCAUUUCCUUCCCCGCUCUUCUCCGUUUCCAGAUCUGCUUCC